GAAAUGAAAAUAAUAUAUACAACAUAUUAUCAGCAUAAAAAUAUCAUUACCAGAAAAAGAAAAAACAAAGCCACAGAUUUGAUGGCAAUUCAAUUUCAAAACACCACAACGAAAACAUAGAACUGGAUCAGAUCUAAGAGACCACAACGAAAACAUAAAAGAACAAACUCAUAGUAAUAAUAAAAACAGGUCAAAUCUCUCUUUUAUCACAAUCCAGAUCAGAUCUAAGAGAGCUGGCCACAAUCAC
rnacentral:lncRNA from 1 species